rnacentral:piRNA from 1 species
UGUGAACUCUACAGUCAGCACUGCUUCC